rnacentral:lncRNA from 1 species
AAAUAUAUUUGCCAUGGCUUUGCCACAAGAAAAAAAUGGAGAGAGAGAGGGGGCUCAGCCACCAAAGCCGUCUUAAUUGGGUAGAAGGAGGUCCAAAAGUGGUGGACACAUUUCCACCAUCUAAAUUAAAAAUCUCUAACCAAGACCAAAGAUCCACAUUGAUCCUAAGCCUAAAUCCAAUUUCAAGUCCAUAAUUGCCUAUAUCUCAAAAACUAAUGCCUUUUUGGCUAAACUAAUACCACCAAUGUAUCCAAUAUAUAUUUUUAUCCUACGAUUGAUUAUUCACAAGUCCAAAUUUAAGUUCUAAAUUAUUAAAACUACUUAAUUUACUAAUUUAGUUAUAAAUUUUAAUUAGAAAUCUAAUUCUAAUUAUCUUAAUUACUGUUGGCUGGUAUUUAAUAACCAGCAAUCACACUCCCCCAACUCAUCUAACUUCGGUCUUCUCUUAUUGCCACAUUACGUUUCAAUAGCUAUACCUUGAUGUUGUUCCAACUUUAUAUACCAAGCCACCAUCCUUUCUUCUUCCAUGUGGUUAUUAGACGCGUUAAAGUGGUCAGUGUGGAAUUCUAUACCUUAAAGGUUUUUGUUUCUAAAAAGGACAUUACUCUUUCAUAAUAGUUAUAUGGGUUUUUUAAACCAUAGAUAGUCUAACCUACUAAUUUAUGUGUUUAUUUAGGCUCGCAUCUCUAU